AUUCUGGCUCAGGAUGAACGCUGGCGGCGUGCUUAACACAUGCAAGUCGAACGGGAUCCAUCGGGCUUUGCCUGGUGGUGAGAGUGGCGAACGGGUGAGUAAUGCGUGACCGACCUGCCCCAUGCACCGGAAUAGCUCCUGGAAACGGGUGGUAAUGCCGGAUGCUCCAUCACACCGCAUGGUGUGUUGGGAAAGCCUUUGCGGCAUGGGAUGGGGUCGCGUCCUAUCAGCUUGAUGGCGGGGUAACGGCCCACCAUGGCUUCGACGGGUAGCCGGCCUGAGAGGGCGACCGGCCACAUUGGGACUGAGAUACGGCCCAGACUCCUACGGGAGGCAGCAGUGGGGAAUAUUGCACAAUGGGCGCAAGCCUGAUGCAGCGACGCCGCGUGAGGGAUGGAGGCCUUCGGGUUGUAAACCUCUUUUGUUAGGGAGCAAGGCACUUUGUGUUGAGUGUACCUUUCGAAUAAGCACCGGCUAACUACGUGCCAGCAGCCGCGGUAAUACGUAGGGGGCAAGCGUUAUCCGGAAUUAUUGGGCGUAAAGGGCUCGUAGGCGGUUCGUCGCGUCCGGUGUGAAAGUCCAUCGCUUAACGGUGGAUCCGCGCCGGGUACGGGCGGGCUUGAGUGCGGUAGGGGAGACUGGAAUUCCCGGUGUAACGGUGGAAUGUGUAGAUAUCGGGAAGAACACCAAUGGCGAAGGCAGGUCUCUGGGCCGUUACUGACGCUGAGGAGCGAAAGCGUGGGGAGCGAACAGGAUUAGAUACCCUGGUAGUCCACGCCGUAAACGUUGGGCACUAGGUGUGGGGGCUCUUUCCGGGGUUUCCGCGCCGUAGCUAACGCAUUAAGUGCCCCGCCUGGGGAGUACGGCCGCAAGGCUAAAACUCAAAGGAAUUGACGGGGGCCCGCACAAGCGGCGGAGCAUGCGGAUUAAUUCGAUGCAACGCGAAGAACCUUACCUGGGCUUGACAUGUUCCCGACGAUCCCAGAGAUGGGGUUUCCCUUCGGGGCGGGUUCACAGGUGGUGCAUGGUCGUCGUCAGCUCGUGUCGUGAGAUGUUGGGUUAAGUCCCGCAACGAGCGCAACCCU
rnacentral:rRNA from 1 species